rnacentral:rRNA from 1 species
CCUACGGGUGGCUGCAGUGAGGAAUAUUGGUCAAUGGGCGCAAGCCUGAACCAGCCAUCCCGCGUGAAGGAAGAAUGCGCUAUGCGUUGUAAACUUCUUUUCCAGGGGAAUAAAAUUUCGUACGAGUACGGGACUGAAGGUACCUUGGGAAUAAGCAUCGGCUAACUCCGUGCCAGCAGCCGCGGUAAUACGGAGGAUGCGGGCGUUAUCCGGAUUAAUUGGGUUUAAAGGGGACAAAGACGGAAGUGGUGAAAACCUUCAGCUUAACUGGAGACUUGCCAUUGAUACUGUUAUUCUUGAGUAUAGUUAAGGUAGGCGGAAUGUGUAAUGUAGCGGUGAAAUGCUUAGAUAUUACACAGAACACCGAUUGCGAAGGCAGCUUACUGAGCUAUAACUGACGCUGAUGCACGAAAGCGUGGGGAGCGAACAGGAUUAGAUACCCCUGUAGUC